CCAGAAACGUUAGUCUUUAAAGUAAAUUUGCGAAGAUGAGUAAACUACAAAACAUUUAUUGGCUUUCAGUUUCACUGGUAAUUUGCUGUGCUCUCGGCAAGAGCACAGCGAGCGAUGCGGGCAACGAUGUCUUCAGUACGACACAUUUACCGGCUAAUUGCAACGAAGCUACCCUUUUAGCAGGGCGCAAAGCUAAAAGUGACAUAUAUAAAAUACAAUUGCCUCCACAAUACGGCGAUGGUGCAGAGUUCUAUGUUAAGUGUUUGCUAGAUCCAUCGGGCCGAGAAGCCUGGACGAUUAUUCAGUUCCGACAGGACGAUACUACAGAGUUUUUUCGCGGUUGGCAGGAGUACAAAAAUGGCUUCGGCAACUUGAAUAGAAAUUUUUUCAUCGGUCUCGAUAAACUGCAUGCACUAACGGCUUCACAAUUGCACGAAUUAUGGAUCGAGUUGAAGGAUUUUGAUAACGUGACGAAAUAUGCCAAGUACGACAGUUUCGCCAUUGCUGACGAAUACCAAAAAUAUGCGUUGAAUAUUUUGGGAGAAUAUUCUGGCACAGCAGGUGAUGCUAUGUUGGGCGUACACGAUGGUGCCAAAUUCAGCACACCGGAUCAGGAUAAUAGCGGUAAUAUCGAUAAUUGUGCAAAGAAUUUUAAAGGCAGUUGGUGGUAUGGCAAUCGUGCUUGCCACAUAAGCAAUUUAAAUGGAUCUAUCUUAAGGGUGUCACUAAAACCUUUGCUGAUGGUAUAGUUUGGAAGCCUUGGCAUGAAUAUUAUUAUUCGCUGAAAUAUGUGCAUAUGGCAAUUAGACCAAAAGAACUACGCAUCAAGAACAGAUCAGUAAUUUAGUAAUGGCUUAGAAAAGAAGAGUGACGUGAUGGCAAGGCUACAUAAAAUAAUUUUCUCCCGCAGAGGCUCUUUUGAAGAGGGUGAAUCAGAAGAUUUGUCUAGUAGACACCAUUUUGUAUCAAUCUACCUAAAACAUUUUAUUAUAUUCAAUUAUAUAUUUAAAAAAGCCUAAAAGUAACAAAAAACGAUUUAUUAUUCUCUACGUCUGAACAUAUUAACAUACCUAAGUUAAGAAAUUAUAUGUGCACGACUUCAAACUUAAAAAAUUAAAAUAAAAGGCCGAAAAAUAGAUAAAAUAGACUUAAAUCAGCAUGACCACGCUAAAAUGUUUAUUUGAUUCAAUGCCAUCAAGUCAAAAUUCAUAAAGAAAUACUUAUUAAUAACUGACAACUUUAAUUCAUCAAAAUAUUUUAAAAACUAACUAUUUUUUUAACAUAUACAUAUAAAUAUUUUCUAUGAACCAUAUUUUUACUUCUCAUUUUUUUUCGCAUAUUCUAAAGAAAUUUCAAUGUAUUUUUGCUAUGUGAUCUAACUAUGAAUACAAAGAAUUAAAAACAAAACUUCGCUAGGGCUU